GCCGCGCCUGAAGCUCAACUUCCGAGGCUCUGCUCAAUCUACGCUUCCUUUAGAGCGUGCAGCCACCAGGUGGCAGCCGAGGCCACGGGCAGACGAAAAGCUCCCGAAACUGAAGGCCUGCCAGGCAGCAGAGUUCCGAAGGGCUCCCAGGACCUUCAACCAGAAAGAGACAGUGAGCAUAUGCGCAUGUCCCUGCAAGGAAUGUACUACAGAGCCAAUUUUACUGGCAAACGAAUGGAAGAUCUGAAAGGCUAGGCGAUCCCACAGGCAGUGAGGAGCAGGCUGGAAUUUGAACCAAUCGGCAUGAUUCCCAAGCUCAAGCUUUUGGUCACCCACGCACUGCCAGGGACAAAAAACAACAACAACAACAAAAAAAAACCUGGGAGGAGAGCCAAGCUGGGGAGUCAAGACCCCCCAGCUAGGUCUGGAUGGGAGGCAGGUGCCUCCACCCUGGUCCCAGAGCAAGUUCUGCUGGCUUCAGCCACCUGACUUCCCUGUGAAGUUGGGCAGAGGCCAGAGCAGACUGUGUGAUUCUGGCCCCAGCCCCAGCACCUCUACCCCCCAUCUUUACUACCCCUAGGCUGCGGGAAGAGGCUUUGUCCAGCAGUAGUCCUGAUCUUAUGGCUCCUUGAAGCACAAUAAACAGAUAGUAUUUCUGCAUAUGUCA
rnacentral:antisense_RNA from 1 species